GACGAACGCUGGCGGCGUGCUUAACACAUGCAAGUCGAGCGGUAAGGCCCUUUCGGGGGUACGACGAGCGGCGAACGGGUGAGUAACACGUGGGUGACCUGCCCUCAGCUCUGGGAUAAGCCCGGGAAACUGGGUCUAAUACCGGAUAUGACUCCAUGACGCAUGUUGUGGGGUGGAAAGCCUUGUGCGGCUGAGGAUGGGCCCGCGGCCUAUCAGCUUGUUGGUGGGGUGAUGGCCACCAAGGCGACGACGGGUAGCCGGCCUGAGAGGGCGACCGGCCACACUGGGACUGAGAUACGGCCCAGACUCCUACGGGAGGCAGCAGGUGGGGAAUCUUGCGCAAUGGGCGAAAGCCUGACGCAGCGACGCCGCGUGAGGGAUGACGGCCU
rnacentral:rRNA from 1 species